CUGGUAGUGGGGGACAACGUGGGGAAACUCACGCUAAUACCGCAUACGCCCUACGGGGGAAAGCGGGGGCUCUUCGGACCUCGCGCUAUCAGAUGAGCCUGCGUUAGAUUAGCUAGUUGGUAGGGUAAAGGCCUACCAAGGCGACGAUCUAUAGCUGGUCUGAGAGGACGAUCAGCCACACUGGGACUGAGACACGGCCCAGACUCCUACGGGAGGCAGCAGUGGGGAAUAUUGGACAAUGGGCGCAAGCCUGAUCCAGCAAUACCGCGUGUGUGAAGAAGGCCUUAGGGUUGUAAAGCACUUUCAAUGGGGAGGAAAACCUGCCGGUCAAUACCCGGUAGCUUGACAUUACCUUUAGAAGAAGCACCGGCUAACUCCGUGCCAGCAGCCGCGGUAAUACGGAGGGUGCGAGCGUUAAUCGGAAUUACUGGGCGUAAAGCGUGCGUAGGCGGUUCGUUAAGUCAGAUGUGAAAGCCCCGGGCUUAACCUGGGAACUGCAUUUGAAACUGGCGGACUAGAGUUGAGUAGAGGGGAGUGGAAUUUCAGGUGUAGCGGUGAAAUGCGUAGAUAUCUGAAGGAACACCAGUGGCGAAGGCGACUCCCUGGACUCAAACUGACGCUGAGGUACGAAAGCGUGGGUAGCAAACAGGAUUAGAUACCCUGGUAGUCC
rnacentral:rRNA from 1 species